CCUACGGGAGGCAGCAGUGAGGAAUAUUGGUCAAUGGACGAGAGUCUGAACCAGCCAAGUAGCGUGAAGGAUGACUGCCCUAUGGGUUGUAAACUUCUUUUAUAUGGGAGUAAAAUGUUCCACGAGUGGGUUUUUGUAUGUACCAUAUGAAUAAGGAUCGGCUAACUCCGUGCCAGCAGCCGCGGUAAUACGGAGGAUCCGAGCGUUAUCCGGAUUUAUUGGGUUUAAAGGGAGCGUAGGUGGAUUGUUAAGUCAGUUGUGAAAGUUUGCGGCUCAACCGUGAAAUUGCAGUUGAAACUGGCAGUCUUGAGUACAGUAGAGGUAGGCGGAAUUCGUGGUGUAGCGGUGAAAUGCUUAGAUAUCACGAAGAACUCCGAUUGCGAAGGCAGCUCACUGGACUGCAACUGACACUGAGGCUCGAAAGUGUGGGUAUCAAACAGGAUUAGAUACCCUUGUAGUC
rnacentral:rRNA from 1 species